CAAGUACUCCCUCCGUCCGGAAUUACUUGUCAUCAAAAUGGAUGUGUCUAGAACUAAAAUACAUCUAGAUACAUCCAUUUCGAUGACAAGUAUUUUCGGACGGAGGGAGUACAAG
rnacentral:pre_miRNA from 1 species